GUUCAUUAUAGACAUGAAGCAUGCAGUUCAGGCUGAUAAAAUUUGACUCGUACCUAUCUUCUAGCAUAUAUAUAAUGGAAGACUGAUUCUUCUUCCACCUCAGGGGAGAGAGAGAGAGAGAGAGAGAGAGAGAGAGAGAGAGAGAGAGAGAGAGAGAGAGAGAGAGAGAGAGAGAGAGAGAGAGAGAGAGAGAGAGAGAGAGAGAGAGAGAGAGCAUGGGGAAACUGGGCCAGCAAGCUCUCAUGUAUGCUGAGAAUCUUACACUACCAUCGUUUCAGGUGAUAGUAAUAAGUGCGAACCUGGGUUGUGACUGCUGUCGACAAAGGGUCUCCCAGAUUAUGUCCAAGAUGACCGGAGUAACAGAGUACACGGUGGACGUGCAGAAUAAACAGGUAGUGGCGAAGAGUGAUGUCAACUUCAGUCACAGUAGAAGAAGAAGAAGAAAUGUCGACCACAGUCCCAGAAAUAAAAUUAACCAUGUUUGGCUUUCAUUCAAGUUCUCCUUCAGUUUUCUCAGACCUACUUGUUGUAUCACUAGAUGCUUUGUCUAGUUCUAUCGAAGGAAAAUUCCCCUUGUAAAUCAAC